UGGGGAAUAUUGGACAAUGGGCGCAAGCCUGAUCCAGCCAUACCGCGUGUGUGAAGAAGGCCUUCGGGUUGUAAAGCACUUUAAGUAAGGAAGAAAAGAGUAUUGUUAAUACCAAUACUCCGUGACAUUACUUACAGAAUAAGGACCGGCUAAUUCCGUGCCAGCAGCCGCGGUAAUACGGAAGGUCCAAGCGUUAAUCGGAAUUACUGGGCGUAAAGCGCGCGUAGGUGGUUUAUUAAGUUGGGUGUGAAAGCCCCGGGCUCAACCUGGGAACUGCAUCCAAAACUGAUUCACUAGAGUACGAAAGAGGAAAGUAGAAUUCACAGUGUAGCGGUGGAAUGCGUAGAUAUUGUGAAGAAUACCGAUGGCGAAGGCAGCUUUCUGGUUCUGUACUGACACUGAGGUGCGAAAGCGUGGGUAGCGAACAGG
rnacentral:rRNA from 1 species